GAUGAACGCUAGCGACAGGCUUAACACAUGCAAGUCGAGGGGUAACGCUUCGGGCGACGACCGGCGCACGGGUGAGUAACACGUAUGCAACCUGCCCGUAACCAGGGGACAGCCUUCCGAAAGGGAGAUUAAUACCCUAUGACACAGGGAUACCGCCUGGUAAUAUUUGUUAAAGGUUUACCGGUUACGGAUGGGCAUGCGCUGGAUUAGAUAGUUGGUAGGGUAACGGCCUACCAAGUCAACGAUCCAUAGGGGAACUGAGAGGUUUAUCCCCCACACUGGUACUGAGACACGGACCAGACUCCUACGGGAGGCAGCAGUGAGGAAUAUUGGUCAAUGGUCGAGAGACUGAACCAGCCAAGUCGCGUGAAGGAAGAAGGUAUUAUGCAUUGUAAACUUCUUUUGAGAGGGAAUAAAGAG
rnacentral:rRNA from 1 species